CCCCCUCAAGAUGAGAUUUCCCAGUAUGUAAGACCCCUUGAAGACGACGAGGUAGAUAGGUUGGAGGUGGAAGCACGGCAACGUGUGGAGCUGACCAAUACUAAUCGGUCGAGGGCUUAUCCAAAA
rnacentral:rRNA from 1 species